rnacentral:rRNA from 1 species
UACAGAGGGUGCAAACGUUGUUCGGAAUUACUGGGCGUAAAGCGCGCGCAGGCGGUCUUCCAAGUCAGUGGUGAAAGCCCGGAGCUCAACUCCGGAACUGCCAUUGAAACUGUUAGACUUGAGGAUGAGAGAGGUGAGUGGAAUUCCCAGUGUAGAGGUGAAAUUCGUAGAUAUUGGGAAGAACAACGGUGGCGAAGGCGGCUCACUGGCUCAUUACUGACGCUCAGGCGCGAUAGCGUGGGGAUCAAACAGG